AUUGAACGCUGGCGGCAGGCCUAACACAUGCAAGUCGAACGAGUGGCGGACGGGUGAGUAAUGUCUGGGAAACUGCCUGAUGGAGGGGGAUAACUACUGGAAACGGUAGCUAAUACCGCAUACCAUCAGAUGUGCCCAGAUGGGAGUAGCUUGUUGGUGGGGUAACGGAUCACCAAGGCGAAGAUCCCUAGCUGGUCUGAGGGGCUGACCGGCCACACUGGAAUUGAGACACGGUCCAGACUCCUACGGGAGCCAGCAGUGGGGAAGAUUGCACAAGGGGCGCAAGCCUGGUGCAGCCAUGCCGCGUGUAUGAAGAAGGCCUUCGGGUUGUAAAGUACUUUCAGCGGGGAGGCGUUACCCGCAGAAGAAGCACCGGCUAACUCCGUGCCAGCCGCCGCGGUAAUAC
rnacentral:rRNA from 1 species